rnacentral:rRNA from 1 species
AACGAACGCUGGCGGCAUGCCUAACACAUGCAAGUCGAACGAGACCUUCGGGUCUAGUGGCGCACGGGUGCGUAACGCGUGGGAACCUGCCCUUAGGUUCGGAAUAACUCCCCGAAAGGGGUGCUAAUACCGGAUAAUGUCUUCGGACCAAAGAUUUAUCGCCUUUGGAUGGGCCCGCGUUGGAUUAGCUAGUUGGUAGGGUAAAAGCCUACAAAGGCGUCGAUCCAUAGCUGGUCUGAGAGGAUGAUCAGCCACACUGGGACUGAGACACGGCCCAGACUCCUACGGGAGGCAGCAGUGGGGAAUAUUGGACAAGGGGCGAAAGCCUGAGCCAGCAAUGCCGCGUUAGUGAUGAAGGCCUUAUGGUUGUAAAGCUCUUUUACCCGGGAUGAUAAUGACAGUACCUGGAGAAUAAGCUCCGGCUAACUCCGUG